rnacentral:misc_RNA from 1 species
AGAAGGAUGUCCUCUAAUUUACACCUGUUAUGUCAUUCAAAUAUGUUGAUCAGAAAUUAGUGGUAGUGAAAGUUUUGGUGAUUAAGUCCAACAAUAUGUACAAUGAUUUUGUUAUAGCCAUUGAUCAUAGUGGGUCUCAUGUGGAUCCCAUCAUAAUCAAUGAUCAAAAUCUUGUAUGGAAAAAUUUUUGGCACAUAUGGAUCAAAAAACUUGCAAAAUGUCUCCUCAAAAGGCAUUUUAAUGCCGGUAACCUUAAAAUAGAGGAUAUGACUUGCCUACAAGAGUAUUGCAUCAAACCAAUGGACGAGUGCCAAGUACUUUGAGUGUUUUACACUUGGCUAAUGAAUGAUUGACACGUACUCGAAUUUUUACAAACUCACCCAUACUUGGCACUCUAAUGGCUUGAUGUAAUACACCAGCAAGAAUUUUCCGAAAAUAGAACCUUCCUACAACGAAAAAAGAAAUGAUGACUGCAAUGACACAGCCCAUGAAAUCAUAAAAUAAAAAUUUUGAACUUUAAUAUUAGGAGAGAAACUUUAAUAUUGGGUUUCUCUCUCAACCAAGAAAUGCAUUGAUACAAGUAGAAAAAUACAGAUGAUGCAAUAAGCUCAAAAUAUAAUAUUAGCUUUGAUUACACAUGUAGCUAAACAAAAGG